CUCACCUCUCUACAACAGCAGCCUAUCCAUGGCAAUUUAUCCUGUAUUUUUCUAUUGCCUGUGAGAGGAAGGGAUGGAAGCAGAGAGGAGAAAAGCAAGCAAGCAACUAAAAAAAUGGCAAGUCACAGGAGUUGUUACUUUUGCAGGAAAUCAUUAGGGGGAAGGUGUAUGCCAGUGAAACCCUCCAGUUACGCAGGAACUCAGCCUUUUGAAGCUUCGCCCCGAGGGAGAGACCUUUUGUCGGCUGAUCUCCUGUUCCAUGAGGACAGAUCAGAGACCCCCAACCGUAUAAAGAAGUGACUCACGGGGAUGCUUGUUCUAAGCCAAGGCAGGGAUCCUCAUGGUUCUGCGUUCUGCAGCAUUCGACCCUGAAAUAUUCCCACCUGAAAAUCGAUGCAGCUCUCGGGCAAAGGGGUGUGACUGUUAUUCAUAUUAUUGAACCGCCGAGUGACAGCAGCAGCAGGAUGCUUUCAGAAAAAGGCCCCGUGCCCAGUGGAAAAGCCGGUCAGUAAAAGCACAACUCCAUCAAAUAUCCCUAAGCCAUCUACUCACUGCACGUCCUUGUCUGUUUCCCUGUCUCCUGUCGGAAGGACACUUGUUGCGUGUGCGCUUAGAGCUGGAGGGAUGCCACAGAUAUGGUCCACAAACGUUUUCAGAUUUUUAAAUGAAUUUCAUUCCGCCGGGUUCACAA